AUGGCGGCGCACAUAGUUGCAGCAGCUCAGUGUUCCACCGAUCUAUGCUAUGUUUGGAUAAUUUUGUACGCCUUAUGUUUGUUUUUGUGUUCUACCAGUCAAGCGAAUAACAUCUACAGCCGACAUGAUCUCCUCAAGAUUGGAGUAAGUUACCGCGAGAGCGUGACCAGCAAAUUUGUCCGCUCACACAAGAUACCGGUGGAAAUAGCGAGGAGUCCGGGCUCCCCAUGGAUUGUUAUCCCUUCGGGGUUGAGGCUAGCAGGCUACACCACACAGCAACAGGACCGAACAGUGGACUCCGGUAAGCGCAAAGGAGGGGGGCUCUGUAUGUAUGUGAACAACAGCUGGUGUACCAACACAGUGAUAACAGACCGUCACUGUUCACCGGACAUUGAAUAUCUGACUGUCAAAUGCAGGCCCGUCUACCUACCUAGGGAGUUCACCGUUGUCAUAAUAACAGCUGUUUACAUACCACCUGAUGCUAAUGCUAACUCGGCGAUCGCACUCCUGCACACAAACAUCAAUAAUAAACAGAGCAUUUACCCUGACGCUGUACAUAUCGUAGCAGGAGACUUUAAUCAUGCAGACUUAAAAACAGCAAUCCCAAAAUUCCACCAGCACGUCAAGUGUGCCACUAGGGGUGACAAGAUUCUGGAAAAAGUUUAUUCCAACAUCAAAAUGGGCUACAGGGCCAGACCUUUGCCACAUCUGGGUCAGUCUGACCACUUGUCACUGUUCCUAAUCCCUGCAUUUGCCCCCCUCAAGAAAACUGCUCCUACCAUCACAAAGACUGUUACCAUAUGGCCAGAGGGCGCCUCUCAGCAGCUGCAGGACUGUUUUGACAGGACUAACUGGGAUAUCUUUGAACAUCAGGACUUGGAAAUGUUCACAGACUGUGUUAUAAAACACUGCAUAGACACUGUUACAGCAGUCAAAUGUAUCCAGGCUUAUCCCAACCAAAAGCCCUGGAUGACCCGGGAGGUCAGGCAGCUGCUGAAGCAGAGGAACACCACGUUCAGGACUGGCAACAGGGAUCAGUACACCACAGCCCGAUCCAACCUGAAGAGAUGCAUCAGAGAGGCGAAGGGGGACUAUAGGAGGAGGAUUGAGGACCAUCUGAAGAGUAACACCAGCCGGCAGGUGUGGCAAGGCAUCCAGCACCUAACCAACUAUAAGAUCAAUCUCGGAGCUGCGGACGGUGACCUGGAGCUGGCAGAGGAGCUGAAUAUCUUCUUCGCCCGCUUUGAGACCAUGGUACCGGAGGUAUUGGAGCCACAGCAGCAACACGCCACCCACAGCAACACCACCCUCACCCUGGAAGAGCACGAGGGGAGGCGCAUGCUGCAGGCUGUUAACCCGAGGAAGGCGGCUGGUCCUGAUGGUGUGCCAGGUUGA
rnacentral:lncRNA from 1 species